UACGAAGGGGGCGAGGCGUUGUUCGGAUUUACUGGGCGUAAAGGGCGCGAGUAGGCGGCCGAUCAAGUCAGGCGUGAAAGCCCCGGGCCUCAACCUGGGAAUGGGCGCUUGGGACUGGUUGGCUUGAGUUCGGGAGAGGGAGAGUGGAAUUCCCAGUGUAGAGGUGAAAUUCGAUAGAUAUUGGGAAGGAACACCGGUGGCGAAGGCGGCUCUCUGGACCGAGACUGACGCUGAGGCGCGAAAGCGUGGGGAGCAAACAGG
rnacentral:rRNA from 1 species